UGCGCAGGCGGGGAUGUAAGUCAGUGGUGAAAAGCUGCCGCUUAACGGUAGUCUUGCCAAUGAUACUGCAUUUCUUGAGUAUGGAUGAGGUAGGCGGAAUGUGCAGUGUAGCGGUGAAAUGCAUAGAUAUUGCACAGAACGUCGAUUGCGAAGGCAGCUUACUAAGCCAUAACUGACGCUGAGGCACGAAAGCGUGGGGAGCGAACAGGAUUAGAUACCCUGGUAGUCC
rnacentral:rRNA from 1 species